rnacentral:lncRNA from 1 species
CUUCAGCUCGCGCACGGUGCGGGCACCCACUGACCUGCGCCCACUGUCUGGCACUCCCUAGUGAGAUGAACCCAGUACCUCAGAUGGAAAUGCAGAAAUCACCGUCUUCUGCAUUGGUAGGCUGAGUAGUCUCAAGAUCUGAAGACAGCAGAAACCUGGGAAAGUUAAUGAUAUACGUUGUUAUACUCCAAGUGUGAGUCUGAAGACAAGGGAAGACCAACGUCCAAGCUUGAAGACAGUCAGAUAGAAUCAUUCUGCAGCCUGGCUAAGGAUGAAGAUAACUGAUAAACUAUUAUAUACCACUUAACAUUGAAGAACUUAAGAAUGUGCAAUGAGAGUUAAACUUCGAAUCACGCAUGGCAAUCAGUGCCUACUCAUGCCAUUUCACUUCAAAGGGACGGUGUCUAGAAACAUUCUUUUUACAAGGCAUUGAUAUAUGUAAAGAAUGUAUCAAUGAAUAGAUGAUGGUGGUGUUUCAGUUACAAAAGCAGAGAAAGAAAUUUGUUACUGAAGGCAAACUUGUACACCUGGGCAAAGCACUUGCAUUCUUUUAAGUUCUGUCAAAGGUAGUACUUCUCAAACUUAAAUAUGCAUGCAAAUCACCUGAGGAAUCACAGAAGAAUUCAGAUUCUCAUGUGAAGGUCUAGAGUGGGGCUUGACCCUCUGCAUAAUAAGCUUCCAAGUGAUGCUGAUACAGCUUGUCCACUUUGAAUAACAAGGAUUUAGUUGAAAGAAACCCUGAAUCAUGGACAUACUUUGAUUUAUCUCUGCUCUUUCUUGAUUUGGACUCAUUAAACCAACUUCAGAUUACAAUUUGCCUUCUCUGUUGGUUUAUCUAAAUAGCAGUAUUGUUAAUCCCAAGAUUGUAUCCCUUAUGGUGAAUAAACAUGUGGACAUUCCAGAUUUAUGCAUUUAGGCAUUUAUUUCUGUGAGGUUGGUUAAUGUGCAUUUGUUUCAGAUGAGGUUAAUAAAAU